AUUGAACGCUGGCGGCAGGCCUAACACAUGCAAGUCGAGCGGAUGAAGAGAGCUUGCUUUCUGAUUCAGCGGCGGACGGGUGAGUAAUGCCUAGGAAUCUGCCUGGUAGUGGGGGACAACGUUUCGAAAGGAACGCUAAUACCGCAUACGUCCUACGGGAGAAAGCAGAGGACCUUCGGGCCUUGCGCUAUCAGAUGAGCCUAGGUCGGAUUAGCUAGUUGGUGAGGUAAUGGCUCACCAAGGCGACGAUCCGUAACUGGUCUGAGAGGAUGAUCAGUCACACUGGAACUGAGACACGGUCCAGACUCCUACGGGAGGCAGCAGUGGGGAAUAUUGGACAAUGGGCGAAAGCCUGAUCCAGCCAUGCCGCGUGUGUGAAGAAGGUCUUCGGAUUGUAAAGCACUUUAAGUUGGGAGGAAGGGCAUUAACCUAAUACGUUAGUGUUUUGACGUUACCGACAGAAUAAGCACCGGCUAACUCUGUG
rnacentral:rRNA from 1 species